rnacentral:rRNA from 1 species
CCUACGGGUGGCUGCAGUGGGGAAUAUUGCACAAUGGGCGAAAGCCUGAUGCAGCAACGCCGCGUGAGGGACGACGGCCUUCGGGUUGAAACCUCUUUUAGCAGGGAAGCGGUACCUGCAGAAAAAGCACCGGCUAACUACGUGCCAGCAGCCGCGGUAAUACGUAGGGUGCAAGCGUUGUCCGGAAUUAUUGGGCGUAAAGAGCUCGUAGGCGGUUUGUCGCGUCUGCUGUGAAAUCCCGAGGCUCAACCUCGGGUCUGCAGUGGGUAUGGGCAGACUAGAGUGCGGUAGGGGAGAUUGGAAUUCCUGGUGUAGCGGUGGAAUGCGCAGAUAUCAGGAGGAACACCGAUGGCGAAGGCAGAUCUCUGGGCCGUACUGACGCUGAGGAGCGAAAGGGUGGGGAGCAAACAGGCUUAGAUACCCCUGUAGUC